CGCUUGCCGGUCUUUGUCCAAAACGGCAGCGACAGAUGCCGACCACCAAGAGCCUGGGUCUGUCCGAGGUCUUUGUCUAAAAGAAGUCUUUGCUCGCCA